GGAGAGGUGACCGAGUUGGCUGAAGGUGCACGCCUGGAAAGCGUGUGUAUGCCGAAAGCGUACCGGGGGUUCGAAUCCCCCCCUCUCCGCCA
rnacentral:tRNA from 1 species